UACGAAGGGGGCUAGCGUUGUUCGGAAUCACUGGGCGUAAAGCGCACGCAGGCGGAUUGAUAAGUCAGGGGUGAAAUCCCGGGGCUCAACCUCGGAAUUGCCUUUGAUACUGUCUGUCUUGAGUUCGGGAGAGGUUGGCGGAAUUCCUAGUGUAGAGGUGAAAUUCGUAGAUAUUAGGAAGAACACCAGUGGCGAAGGCGGCCAACUGGCCCGAUACUGACGCUGAGGCACGAAAGCGUGGGGAGCAAACAGG
rnacentral:rRNA from 1 species